rnacentral:ncRNA from 3 species
AGCAAUCACUAGGGGAGCUUUUUGAAGCUGAGACGAAUGUAUUUCGGACCCUUUGAACCUGAUCUGGUUUGGACCAGCGUAGGGAAGUGGUGAUCAUGUUUA